UCAGGCAGUUACGGACGUCGCUGUCAAUCGGUUAUGCUCUCCCAUCUAUAAAAGAGAUCCCCCAGAUACGUUCUCCUCUAAGCUCUAAGCACUAUCUCUAAACUCUGCUAAAAUUCCAUUCGAGUGCUCCAUUUCUGUUGAAGCAGAGUACUAACUUGAGCAUCGGAGGGUUUUGCCGGAGCACCCCCAACUCUGGUUUAGACUUUCCUUGCAGGUCCCGACAGCGGCC
rnacentral:lncRNA from 1 species